CCACUUGCUCUAGGGACGAUCGGUGAUAUUUCUAUACUGUUAAACUUGCAAACGGCUCACUACGGCCAUUAAAAUUAUUGAUUUUGAGCCCCUUCGAUCAUAGGCAAAUGAUAUCGAAAAAUUAUAAAAUUUAUUUUCUAGGUACUUCAAAUACUCUAGAUCAAGUUUAACGGAGCCGAUCGACGAUUCGAAAGUCGCAACAUCGAAAAUGACUUGAAAGCACGGAAGGCUCAGUACUUCCAAAAACAUAGUAGCCUCACUCAUAUAUAUAUAUAUAUAUAUAGGCUGGAAUACUAUUAAUAGUAAAACGCUCUCUUUGCUAUCAAGUUUUUAACCCUUGGAUGAAAAAUUAUAGGGUCAGAAUGAUAUUAGUCGGUUAGAGUUGAGUGGUUCCCUCUAGGGUUGAGUAGUCCCCACUGGGUUAUAGUAUUUAAUCCAAUGGUUAGAAAUAAUGAAAAGAGUUGAUCCAAAGGCUAAAAAACUGGUAGUAACAAUGAAAUUUUGCUACUAAUAGUAGCCCAGUCCAACUAUAUAUAUAUAUAUAUAUAUAUAUAUAUAUCAUUAACAAACAGACUUCACUGCCACUCAUUUAUUUUUUAUGAUAGAACCUUCAAAUCGAUGAUGGGUACCGUUGAACAUGAUUUAUAUCAUUUGAAAUAUUUAAAAACUAAAUUUUGAUAUUUUUGAUAUCAUUGACCUAAUGAUCAAAGAGUUUUAAAAUUUAUAAUUUUAAUAGUCAAUAUGAGGGUUUUUUUUUUUUGUUUAACGGUAUAAAGAUAUCCAAAUUAAUUGAAAUUUGAUUAAAUUUUUUUAAAAACUAUUAAAAUAAGAUCUAUACUCUUGAUCUUGAUUAUAAAAUUUCUAUCUAUCACUUUUUAAAGAAUAUUUAUUUUUAGCCAUUCGAAAAAGUAUGAAAUUUGAUUUCUAAAUCCUUCCGUUGAUAUAGAUCAUGUUCAACAGUCUCGAUCGUUGAUUUGAAGACUUCAUCAUCGAAAACAAAUAAGUGGCAACGGAGCCCGCUUGUUGCCGAUAGCAUUCCAGCCCAACUCUAUUGUUUCUUUAUAUUCUAAGGUUUUAUAUAAUUAU
rnacentral:lncRNA from 1 species